UAGGGAAUAUUGGUCAAUGGGCGGAAGCCUGAACCAGCCAUGCCGCGUGCAGGAAGACGGCCUUCUGGGUUGUAAACUGCUUUUAUCAGGGACCAAAUAGCUCCUGCGGGAGAAGUUGAGUGUACCUGAAGAAUAAGCACCGGCUAACUCCGUGCCAGCAGCCGCGGUAAUACGGAGGGUGCAAGCGUUGUCCGGAUUUAUUGGGUUUAAAGGGUGCGUAGGCGGUUAAUUAAGUCAGUGGUGAAAUCCUUCAGCUUAACUGAAGACCUGCCAUUGAAACUGGUUAACUUGAGUACAGACGAGGUAGGCGGAAUUUAUGGUGUAGCGGUGAAAUGCAUAGAUACCAUAAAGAACACCUAUAGCGAAGGCAGCUUACUAGACUGUAACUGACGCUGAUGCACGAAAGCGUGGGGAGCGAACAGGAUUAGAUACCCCCGUAGUCC
rnacentral:rRNA from 1 species